GGUCGGAUAGCUGAGACGGAUUACGCGCUUGCCUGAAGAGCAGGAGAGGUCAGUUCGAUUCUGACUCCGACCA
rnacentral:tRNA from 1 species